rnacentral:rRNA from 1 species
UGGGGAAUAUUGCACAAUGGGCGAAAGCCUGAUGCAGCAACGCCGCGUGAGUGAUGAAGGCCUUCGGGUUGUGAAGCUCUGUCUUUUGGGACGAUAAUGACGGUACCAAAGGAGGAAGCCACGGCUAACUACGUGCCAGCAGCCGCGGUAAUACGUAGGUGGCAAGCGUUGUCCGGAUUUACUGGGCGUAAAGGAUGCGUAGGCGGAUUUUUAAGUGAGAUGUGAAAUACCCGGGCUUAACUUGGGUGCUGCAUUUCAAACUGGGAAUCUAGAGUGCGGGAGAGGAGAAUGGAAUUCCUAGUGUAGCGGUGAAAUGCGUAGAGAUUAGGAAGAACACCAGUGGCGAAGGCGAUUCUCUGGACCGUAACUGACGCUGAGGCAUGAAAGCGUGGGUAGCAAACAGGAUUAGAUACCCUGGUAGUCCACGCCGUAAACGAUGAGUACUAGGUGUAGGAGGUAUCGACCCCUUCUGUGCCGCAGUUAACACAAUAAGUACUCCGCCUGGGAAGUACGAUCGCAAGAUUAAAACUCAAAUGAAUUGACGGGGUCAUAGCUGUUUUCC